rnacentral:misc_RNA from 1 species
GAGUCAGCCAUAUUUUUCCAAAAGGAACUGGUCCGGCUCCCACAGCUUGGGGUCUCUUAAAAUCAUUUCCAGCUGGGAUACAUUCAAUUACUUUACUCACCCAUACUGUCUGUUUUGGUGCUUGGCCACCGAAGCUGGACGUGGGAUUUCCAAAUAUCUGGUGGAGGACAACAUCCUCCACAGAUGAUUCCCAGCGUUGAACCCUCCAUCCUGU